GAAAGGUCAAAAUUUACAUAAAUGCUCUACAUUAUUGCUAACUUAUAAUCUUAUCGUAAGACUAAAAAAUUUGUACAAUAAAUGGGUCCAAAUAUCUUGUCUUCCGUUGAUUCCGUUGAUGUUGUCGUAUCUGCUCCAUUAUUGCUUCUUAUUUUAUCUUUCCAGCUGGCAUUUUGUCUUCUUGAUUUUUAUUCUAGAUGUACUUCUGGAAUAAUAUUAUCUUCACCAUUACACCUCAAACAUUGGUGAUCUGAAUAUUUGUGUCCAAUUAUUUUACAAUAUCUUGUUAGUAGUCCG
rnacentral:lncRNA from 1 species